ACUCCCUUUGGCUUCUCAUGUAACCUAGCGUUACAAUCAUAGUGCCUAAAUCAUCUGAUUUAUACUAUCCAACAGGUUAUGGCAACAGUGUUUGCAAGACACUGCAAAGUACUGCAAACACUUUCAUAAAGAUGUCUUUAAAGUACUUCUGAAAGACUUUGCUUCGGGAAGGGUUUAAUGCACCAAUUCAAGUUUAAUUUUGGUGACCAUGGUUACGCUCCUCGGAAAUUGAAAAUGAACUACAGGUGUCCAACCUAAUUCUAAAAAAAAGGCUUUCAAAUGUUCACCAGCAAUGUCACUGGGGACCAUUGAUGCUAAUCUUCCCACAGAGAUGUAAAUGCACAUAGUAAUUUUGAUUAAAAAUAUAAAGAAAGGGUCAGAUGAAGACUGGACAAAUGUUCCCUUUGAGAUGUAAAUGCAAGUUAUUAACAACAACAAAAACUCAGACAGUGGCAGGUGAUGUAAAACUGCAGGUGAGGGUAUAUACUGUAGCCAGUAAGGGGUUCACAUUCAAUAAAAUUAAACUCUAUUGUUUACCAGUGUUGAUUCAUCACUUUUGGAGGUGGAUAAGCAAUGUAGUCAUUUAAAGUAAUUUAACUAAUAAAAAUACAGUUGGCUUUACAUUAAUAAUUUAAAUUUACAUUACUUUGAUGAAGUAAUCAAAAUAGUCACAUUACUUAUUGUAUUUUUUAAUAGGGUAGCUGCUAGUAAUCUGUAACCUAUUGCAUUUCAAAAGUACCCUUCCCAACCCUGCUCCUCACACUCCUCUUCCCCAACACCACACCAUAUUUGUUGAGUUGUAGAUGGAAGGAGAUUGCAGCUACUAAGUGCUGUGGCUAACACAAGAGGCCCUUGAACCACUUCACUGGUCCUUUGUGCCUCAAGCUAAGAACAUUUAUUGUGAAUGAAUAUACUACAGCACUACACUGCCACUUUUAUCCAUGCUUAAUUGUUUUAUAUGACUGCACUUUACUUUUUAAAUACGGCAUGCUCAUCUUAAUGGGCAUUGCACUCACCUAAUUACACACUAUCAAAAAUAGCCUACUAUUUUCAAGACAAAAUCAGCCUCUAAUUCACAUAUAUCUAUGACUCACAUGCUGUAUCUAUGCCCUCUCUUUGGUUAUGAGUUGAGAAUGCAUUUUGAAAGGUAAGUGAGUUUAUAUUGUUUUUGGUUUUGAGCAGGUAAACAAAAUAUGAUACACAACUGGCUGAUGUCUAGUUAGCUUUGAUAAAAUUGGAGUAGAUCCUCAUUGACUUACACCUGUAGUUAAUCAUUUCGGCAUUAAAAGUACAUUAAAAUGAGAACAAGGUACAACAACAUAAGACAGCAUUGAAUGACCAUAGGUUUCUGCUGCAGUUCUGCUUCAUGCUAGAAGGCCAGGACUUGCAAAGACCAAAAAAGCAUCAGGCAGAUAUCAGCAUGUAGGAUGUGGAAAUCACUAUGUGUGUGUGUGUGUGUGUGUGUGUGUGUGUUUCUUUUCAUUUGUUUACACCCCAGGUGCUUGCAUCUGUAGC